rnacentral:tRNA from 1 species
UCCCUAGUGGUCCAGUGGUUAAGACUCCACCCUUCCAUUGCAGCGGGCACAGGUUCAAUCCCUGGCUGGGGAA